AUUGAACGCUGGCGGCAUGCCUUACACAUGCAAGUCGAACGGUAACAGGUCUUCGGAUGCUGACGAGUGGCGAACGGGUGAGUAAUACAUCGGAACGUGCCCGAUCGUGGGGGAUAACGAGGCGAAAGCUUUGCUAAUACCGCAUACGAGCUACGGAUGAAAGCGGGGGAUCUUCGGACCUCGCGCGGGCGGAGCGGCCGAUGGGAGAUUAGGUAGUUGGUGGGAUAAAAGCUUACCAAGCCGACGAUCUGUAGCUGGUCUGAGAGGAUGAUCAGCCACACUGGGACUGAGACACGGCCCAGACUCCUACGGGAGGCAGCAGUGGGGAAUUUUGGACAAUGGGCGAAAGCCUGAUCCAGCCAUGCCGCGUGCAGGAUGAAGGCCUUCGGGUUGUAAACUGCUUUUGUACGGAACGAAAAGCCUCUUUCUAAUAAAGAGGGGUCAUGACGGUACCGUAAGAAUAAGCACCGGCUAACUACGUG
rnacentral:rRNA from 1 species